GGGCGUUCAUUGCACAAAAUAAGGAUUCACAGCAGUGGCCAGAUAAAGUGGGAAGGCACACCUUCAAUUUGACUACAAACAUCAGCUGCUUUGGGACGUGACUAGGCUCACCCUUUGACAUCAUCUGAGGCUUUUCUAAGCCAUACUGUAUACAUGAUUGACAUAACAAUCACGCAUGAGAGACUUGUGGGAGGCAGUGGAAAGCUGUGAGAGUCAGUGUAUCGGCUGAGAAGAUUUGAGCUGCA